UACAGAGGGUGCAAGCGUUAAUCGGAAUUACUGGGCGUAAAGCGUGCGUAGACGGUUAUUUAAGUCGGGUGUGAAAUCCCCGGGCUCAACCUGGGAAUUGCAUUCGAGACUGAAUAGCUAGGGUUCGGAAGAGGGAAGCGGAAUUUCCGGUGUAGCGGUGAAAUGCGUAGAUAUCGGAAGGAACAUCAGUGGCGAAAGCGGCUUCCUGGUCCAGAACCGACGUUCAGGCACGAAAGCGUGGGGAGCAAAC
rnacentral:rRNA from 1 species